rnacentral:rRNA from 1 species
GGUUGAUCCUGCCGGAGGCUACCGCUAUUGGAGUUCGAUUAAGCCAUGCGAGUCGAGAGUCUUAGGGACUCGGCGUACCGCUCAGUAACACGUGGGUAACCUGCCCUAUGCUGGGGAAUAACCUCGGGAAACUGAGAAUAAUGCCCCAUAGUUCACUACGCCUGGAACGGUGAGUGGAUGAAAGCUCCGGCGGCAUAGGAUGGGCCUGCGGCGUACCAGGUCGUAGGGGGUGUAACGUACCCUCUAGCCAUCGACGCGUACGGGUGUUGGGAGACAUAGCCCGGAGAUGGAUUCUGAGACACGAAUCCAGACCCUACGGGGUGCAGCAGGCGCGAAAACUUGGCAAUGCGAGAAAUCGUGACCAGGGAACUCCAAGUGGCUGGGGUAAGACCCAGUCUUUUCUUGACUCUUCAAGGGUCUUGGAAUAAGAGGUGGGUAAGGACGGUGCCAGCCGCCGCGGUAAUACCGGCGCCUCAAGUGGUAGUCGAUUUUAUUGGGCCUAAAACGUCCGUAGCCUGUUUGGUACAUUCGUGGGUAAAUCAACCAGCUCAACUGGUUGAAUUCUGCGAGCACGGCCAGACUUGGGACCGGGAGAGGUGUGGGGUACGCUCAGGGUAGGGGUAAAAUCCUGUCAUCCUGAGCGGACCACCUGUUGCGAAGGCGCCACACUAGAACGGAUCCGACGGUCAGGGACGAAGCCUAGGGGCACGAACCGGAUUAGAUACCCGGGUAGUCCUAGGUGUAAACGCUGUGGACUUGGUGUUGGGGAUUCUCCGAGGAUUCUCAGUGCCGAAGCGAAGGUGAUAAGUCCACUGCCUGGGGAGUACGGUCGCAAGGCUGAAACUUAAAGGAAUUGGCGGGGGAGCACCGCAACCUGAGGAUUGUGCGGUUUAAUUGGAUCAACGCCGGG